rnacentral:rRNA from 1 species
UCCUUCGGGAGGCAGCAGUGGGGAAUAUUGGACAAUGGGGGGAACCCUGAUCCAGCGACGCCGCGUGAGUGAAGAAGUAUUUCGGUAUGUAAAGCUCUAUCAGCAGGGAAGAAAAUGACGGUACCUGACUAAGAAGCCCCGGCUAACUACGUGCCAGCAGCAGCGGUAAUCCGUAUGGAGCAAGCGUUAUCCGGAUUUACUGGGCGUAAAGGGAGCGUAGGCGGCCUGCCAAGUCUGAUGUGAAAUACCGGGGCUCAACCCCG